rnacentral:rRNA from 1 species
GGGCCCGCACAAGCGGUGGAGCAUGUGGUUUAAUUCGAUGAUACGCGAGGAACCUUACCAGGGCUUAAAUGUAGUAUGACCGGUCUAGAAAUAGGCCUUCCCUUCGGGGCAGAUUACAAGGUGCUGCAUGGUUGUCGUCAGCUCGUGCCGUGAGGUGUUAGGUUAAGUCCUGCAACGAGCGCAACCCCUAUUCUUAGUUGCCAGCGGUUCGGCCGGGGACUCUAAGAAGACUGCCAGCGCAAGCUGAGAGGAAGGUGGGGAUGACGUCAAAUCAUCAUGCCCCUUAUGUCCAGGGCUGCACGCAUGCUACAAUGGCAAGUACAACGAGUCGCAAUACCGCGAGGUGGAGCAAAUCUCUUAAAGCUUGUCUCAGUUCGGAUAGGAGUCUGCAACUCGACUCCUUGAAGUUGGAGUCGCUAGUAAUCG